rnacentral:rRNA from 1 species
UGGCGGCAGGCCUAACACAUGCAAGUCGAGCGGAUGAAGAGAGCUUGCUCUCUGAUUCAGCGGCGGACGGGUGAGUAAUGCCUAGGAAUCUGCCUGAUAGUGGGGGACAACGUUUCGAAAGGAACGCUAAUACCGCAUACGUCCUACGGGAGAAAGCAGGGGACCUUCGGGCCUUGCGCUAUCAGAUGAGCCUAGGUCGGAUUAGCUAGUUGGUGAGGUAACGGCUCACCAAGGCGACGAUCCGUAACUGGUCUGAGAGGAUGAUCAGUCACACUGGAACUGAGACACGGUCCAGACUCCUACGGGAGGCAGCAGUGGGGAAUAUUGGACAAUGGGCGAAAGCCUGAUCCAGCCAUGCCGCGUGUGUGAAGAAGGUCUUCGGAUUGUAAAGCACUUUAAGUUGGGAGGAAGGGCAUUAACCUAAUACGUUAGUGUUUUGACGUUACCGACAGAAUAAGCACCGGCUAACUUCGUGCCAGCAGCCGCGGUAAUACGAAGGGUGCAAGCGUUAAUCGGAAUUACUGGGCGUAAAGCGCGCGUAGGUGGUUUGUUA